rnacentral:rRNA from 1 species
GAUGAACGCUGGCGGCGUGCUUAACACAUGCAAGUCGAGCGGAAAGGCCCAAGCUUGCUUGGGCACUCGAUUGGCGAACGGGGGAGUAUCACGUGGGUGUUCUGCCCUUCACUUCCGGAUAAGCCUGGGGAACUGGGUCUAAUAUCGCGUAUGACCACAUUUUGGAUGUUGUGGUGGGAAGUAUGUCGGUGUGGGUUGAGCUCGCGGCCUAUCCGCUUGUUGAUGGGGUAAUGGCCUACCAAGGCGUCGACGGGUAGCCGGCCUGAGAGGGCGUAGGGCCGCACUGGGCUCGAGCGACGGCCAAGACUAGGAAGGGUGGCAGCAGUGGGGAAAAUUGGACAGUGGGCGCAAGCGUGAUGGAGCGAGGCCGCGGGGGGGAUGACGGCCUUCGGGUGGUAAGAACAAUUCGCUAAGGACGAAGCGUUUUUGUGACGGUACCUGGAGAAAAAGCACCGGCUAACUACGUG